GUUAAGGUAGCAGAGCCUGGCAAUUGCAUAAAACUUAAAACUUUACACUCAGAGGUUCAACUCCUCUCCUUAACA
rnacentral:tRNA from 1 species